CCUACGGGAGGCAGCAGUGAGGAAUAUUGGUCAAUGGACGAGAGUCUGAACCAGCCAAGUAGCGUGAAGGAUGACUGCCCUAUGGGUUGUAAACUUCUUUUAUAAGGGAAUAAAACGUUCCACGUGUGGGAUUUUGUAUGUACCAUAUGAAUAAGGAUCGGCUAACUCCGUGCCAGCAGCCGCGGUAAUACGGAGGAUCCGAGCGUUAUCCGGAUUUAUUGGGUUUAAAGGGAGCGUAGGUGGAUUGUUAAGUCAGUUGUGAAAGUUUGCGGCUCAACCGUAAAAUUGCAGUUGAAACUGGCAGUCUUGAGUACAGUAGAGGUGGGCGGAAUUCGUGGUGUAGCGGUGAAAUGCUUAGAUAUCACGAAGAACUCCGAUUGCGAAGGCAGUUCACUGGACUGCAACUGACACUGAGGCUCGAAAGUGUGGGUAUCAAACCGGAUUAGAUACCCCGGUAGUC
rnacentral:rRNA from 1 species